UCAUAGUCAUAAUCGCGCCCUACAAACUGUCAGCUACAGAUGGCUCGUUACCAACAUGCCAGAUAGCAUAACAACCACCUCUACCCAGCUGAGACUUAGCUCCACCUUUUCUUUGAAAUCAACAGGAUGGACAGAACUGAGCUCAUUCUAUAUUUGUCCCUCUCUGUCACCAAAGGAACCCAUUUUUCUCCUCCAGCUGAGGGACCAUUUCCUCUUGACAAACUUGGUACAAAGGCUAGAAAUAUGCAAUUGAGGGUAGACCUGGAUCCAACAAGACCAGGAAAUGAGGGACCAGCUUGGGUGACGGUCCAGAGCUUCAGCUGGACAGCUUCCGCACAGAUUUACUGAAACAAAUAUUUUGCUGGACACUCACUCUAUGAAAAUCCCCUGUAACAUUUGGAGCCAUGUGGAGCUUUCGUCUGUUUGCAAAAAGCAAACAUAGAAAGAAGACGACAACUGACGCAGAGGAGCAUUCGCAACCUUAUGUCAUUAUUUCUUGUCUGAGAAUCUACUAGAUACUAAUGCAGUUGUUCACUUUAAAUGUUGUCUGCACACAACAAAUGAAUGACUUUGAAUUUCAUUUGCACUCUAGGUUUUGAAAUAAAAAACGUUUGAAAUAUAUGGAGACUGACUUACAGGGUAAGGUACCCCCAUUAUAGAGACAAGGGUGAGGCAAAACUACUUAAUAAUAAUAAUAAUUAAGACCUUUGUCAGGUUUUUAAUGGCACACAUGAUAUACUUGAUGAGAAGGGAAAAGAUGGAUGGAUACAGAGAGAGAAAUAGGAAAGACAAAGGCAUUCAGUCAUCAUGCAUUUAAUCACUUGAGACAACAGCAGAUGUGCAACAGCAGACAAGUGGUUAUCAAGGGGACAAAAUGUUUUGUUUAGUCAUAACUGUGAAUAAACGGUGACACAAAACUUAA